rnacentral:sRNA from 2 species
AUGCUCGGAAUCGUUGUACACUGCGGUUCUGGGCGCGCCGUCCGCGCCCACCUGACAGCUGCUCGCUACGUUUUGUUAGCC